rnacentral:sRNA from 2 species
UUUGCGCAAGGGAUAGUAGCGGCAUCCUUUUUUGCUUUUAAUUUUUUUGUAAAAUUUUAUUAUAAUGAGCAAAAAAGAUAUAGCGAAUAGCCCGACCCUUU